rnacentral:rRNA from 1 species
GGGCCCGCACAAGCGGUGGAGUAUGUGGUUUAAUUCGAUGCAACGCGAAGAACCUUACCAGGGUUUGACAUCCUGCGAAUCUCUUGGAAACGAGAGAGUGCCUUCGGGAGCGCAGUGACAGGUGGUGCAUGGCUGUCGUCAGCUCGUGUCGUGAGAUGUUGGGUUAAGUCCCGCAACGAGCGCAACCCACGUCUUUAGUUGCCAGCGGUUCGGCCGGGGACUCUAGAGAAACUGCCUGCGAUGAGCAGGAGGAAGGCGGGGAUGACGUCAAGUCCUCAUGGCCCUUAUGGACUGGGCUACACACGUGCUACAAUGGCGGUGACAAUGGGCAGCGAAGGGGCGACCUGGAG